rnacentral:lncRNA from 1 species
CGACUGGUUCGUUCUCCGAUCCGGCUGUUCCAUUGAAGCAGGCAUGCCAGAGCUAGAGGAAUUCAAAAUAAACUUUCUGCUAAAGCAUAUAGACACAUGAAUAAACCAAAAUUUAACUAGCUUCUCUUGUAUGUAAUAAGUGUCUACCUCAUUGCUGCAGAAGAUGAUGUUACUUUAGUUUUUCUAUUUUUAAAACAGAAAAUAAAUAUAUAAUAUUUCUUUGUUUUUGUUUUUCUAUUCGUUUGUUUAUUUCCAAUUUCUUGCCUUUUUAACUUUAUAAUCAAGGUUUUGAUGUUUAUCAAUUUUGGCCUAUUGGAACAUAAAAUUAGGAACCAAAAGGCAUUGAGAAUAGAGGUGAUCAUGGGCCGGGCCGGGCCAAGACAAAAUUUUAGGCCCGUUUUCUUGGCCCGACCCGAAAUAUGGCUUAAAAAUUUGUUCAAGCCCGGCCCGAAAGAAAAUUGAUAAGCCCGGCCCUGCCCGGCCCAUAUUUGAUUAAAAAUAAAAUUAUAUAUAUUUAAUAUAUAAUUCGGGUCGGGCCGGGCUCGGGCCAAAAAAGUCUUACCCAAGGCUCGGCCUGUAAUAGCCCGAUUUUCAAAAACGUCAAAAACAGUGGUACAAGAUCACCAAAUUCGGAAAAUAAGCUCGUAAAUUUCAUUAUUAAUAACUACGAGCCAAAUAUGAUUUUUAAGAGAUUUUUGAAUUAGUAAUUUGUGUUUUAUAAAAAUUUAUUAAGUCAAGAAAUUGAGGAAAAGAGGUAUCGAGACCUCGAUGUUAUAAACUGAGCCGUAAAUAUUUUUAUAAAUAUUUUUAUAAAUAUUUACGGAGUGUCAAUAUGGUAGUGUUAAAGUUUCGUUAAGAAAUUUUAAAGUUCCGAUAAUUAAUUGAAUAAAAAAAACUAAAUUGUAACAAAUGCAAAAUUAUGGGAAAUGAUUAAAUAGCUUAAAAGAUAAAAGGAAGAGGGCUUAAAAGGCAAAUAGACCCAAGGUCCAUUUGGGAUGGACGGCAGAGGCAUGAAAUCAGCAACAAAGUAAGGAUAAUUAAGGGCAAAAUUGGAAUAUUGCAAAAUUUACUUAAUAAAGUUAGGACCAAAGUGGAAUUAUCUAUAUUUCUCUUUAUUUUUCUGCAUUCUCAUCAGCAAAAACACCAUAGAAGGGUUUCCUUAAGCUGGUUCUUCAUAUUUUUACUGCAGGUAAGUUCGACUCUUGAUUAUUUCUUGAAAAUUUUGUAUUUUUGUGACUUUUACAACUAGGCCCACUUAUUGUAUUCAUUAGUUUUUGAUUCUAUGAAAGAAGUUGAAAGUUGCUAUGAAUACAUGCUGGAAGUAUAUGAUGAUUUAGCAUGGAAUUAGAGCUUUAAAUUGUUCAUAUGCUGAUUUUAUUGAAAGAAUUUAAUAGAAAGUGAAUGUUUGGGACCUAAUAGUAAAAGAGUUUGAAGUUAGGGUUUUAUGUGGAAAUUCUGAAUUUCAAUAGUUGUGAAAUAAUUUAUAAUGUCUAGGUAAAGUACUAAUGGAGAAAAUUUAGCUUAAUUGAGGGGUUAAUUGAGCAAGGACUGAAUUGUAUGAACUGUGAAAUUUGGGGCAAAAUAGAAAUCAACAUUUUACACUAAAACAGUUUUGGACAACAGUGGUGGUUUAACUUUGAUAAAUCACCAAAAAUUGUGGGAAUUUAAUUAGAGGGUGGAUAAAAUAUGAAACUAAAACUUAUUGAGUCUAGUUUCUCAUAGAAGAAACGGUGUAAGUAAUGAAAUUGUAAAUUAUGAGUUAUAAUAAAUUUUGUGAGACAAUGUCAGAAUGAUUUCGGGUUCCCUUGUUUUAACUUUGGAAAUUCAUAAAAAAUUGAAGAAAAAUAAUUAUGAGUUGUAAUUGAUAUUCUUAGAAUCCUUAAUGAGUCUAUUUUCAAAGAAAAUAAACGGAAAUAUUAUCCAAAUUCUGUACAAUUAGAUAAUUCAUUUUUAGUGAAGAAUGGUUGGAACUGCCAGACAGUGAAAUAGGUGAAACUUUAAAGAAUAAAAUGUACUAUUUGGCUGAACCAAAAAUUCUGAAAAUUUUAUGGUAAGAAGAUAUGUGAGUCUAGUUUCAGGGAAAAUUAAUGUAUCUUAAUUUGGAGCUCUGUAGCUAUGGAUAAAAAUAAUUUAGUGACUCUGACUCGGAUAAAUAGCUUUGAAUAUACAUGUGAGUGAAUAGUGAAAUUAUAGCUAAUGUUGUUUAAGUGUGUUAUGCACAUUAAGGAUGUGGAAUGGAGAGGAGGAGGAGGAAAAUUGGGAAAUAUAUGAAUGAUUUGUGUAUAAUUGGUCAUAAGCUUGAUUAUAAUUGAUAAACGAUGAAAUAGAAAUAAUGCUUAUAUUUGUGCAUUAUUGGUCAUGGUUUAAGCUCAUGUGUGAAAAUAAAGUUUCAUAGUAUGUGUGUAUGGUAUAUUCGGUAUAUGAUUUGGCAUGAAAUAAUGUCAUGAAUGGUUUAUGAAUUAACAUAUGUUGGUAACAUGAAUAAAUGUUGUGCUCAUCCAUGCUUAUAAUGCUUACGCUAUAUGCGUAUUUGGCUAACAUAUUUGGUGUACAUGCUUAGGCUUUGGCCAAGUAGUGGCUAGAUUAUGCCAUGUUAAAUUUAUAAGUUAUGCAUUGAAAUAGUAAGUUCAUAUGGCUGAAAUUUAAUGAUUAAAUGUUAAUUUCAUGAAUUAUAUAAUGUAUGAUGAAAUAUAUUUAUUGUUGAAAUGAGAAUAAAAUAAAAAUGCGAAAACCGAAUAAAUGAUCAAAUUGAGCGGAAUGUCGGAUUUGAGUACUUCUAAUCAGUGAUAAGUGAUAAGUGGUAGCUUUAGCUACACUUAUCUGAUCAGUGGCAAGUGACAAGUGACAAGUGAUAAGUGGUAGCAUUAGCUACACUUAUCUGAUCAGUGACAAGUAACAAGUGAUAAGUGAUAGCUUCAGCUACACUUAUCUGAUCAGUGACAAGUGACAAGUGAUAAGUGAUAGUUCAGCUACACUUAUCUGAUCAGUGACAAGUGACAAGUGACAAGUGACAAGUGAUAAGUGGUAGCAUUAGCUACACUUAUCUAAUCAGUGAUAAGCGGCAAGAGAUAAGUGGUAGCUUAGCUACACUUAUCUGAUCAGGGACAAGUGAUAAGUGAUCAUACGUUAGACCAUAGUUAUACUAUGGCAAAGUGGAAGUGAAGUACUCAAUUUUCCGUAACCGUUCUGUAACAGCCCAAUUUUGACCCUAAUCGAAAUAGUGGUUUCUGGACCACAAAUCCGAGUCUAUAAAAAAUAUAAAAUAAAAAAUAUUUUAAUAUUAUUUUGUGUGUUUAUGAUGUGUGAAUUUACAUGUGUGAAAGUUUCAUGAAAUAAUUUUAUUGUUUGUGUGCUUAAUUUGAGAAAAUGGCUUAAUCGCGUAAAAUAAAAAUUUGAUGUUUAAAUAUGAAAGUGCCUAAUUUUUGUCGUCUUUAUAAUUUGGAGGUUUUAUGUUGUAAUUUAGUCAAUAGUAAAUGUAGUGGACGGCAUGAUGGUUUAUAUAUAUAUAUAUAGUUUUUAUAUAUAUUAAAUGUAAAAGUAAAAUAAUACUAUUAUAAUAUAAUGCUAAUAAAAUAAAACAUAAAAUAAAUGAAUCAUGCAUUAUUUCAUCCAUAGCCGAAACAUCAAAAGAAAAAGUAAGAAAAGAAGAAAGCUAGGUUCGGCCAUUUUGUCCUUUGAUUUAGGUAUGUGUUUUGUUCGAUUUUUGAUAAUUUUUACGUUUUUGAGAUCGUUGCUUUGAAUACUUCAAAACCCAUGUCUUAAUUUUGUGAAUUGUUGAUGAUUUUGAAAUGUGUCAUUGCUGAAUGUUUGAGUUUCAUGAUGUUAGUUGAUGAAAUAUGAAAUAUAAAUGUUAGAUUAACAUGUUUUGUCUUUGAAUUUUUGGUGAAUUUGAGUAAUUAGGGCUAAAUUGAGAAAAUAAAUUUUUCAAGGACUAUAAUGUGAAAUAAAUAAAAUGCAUGAGCUUGUAUAGACACUAGGAAUAUUCGGCCCUUAAGGAGUGUAGUCAAAAUUUGUGUAUUUUGUGUUUUGAGCAAAAAGGAUUAAAUUGUAAAAAGUGUGAAAUGUUAGGGGCAAAAUUGUAAUUUUCCCAUUUAUAUGUUCUUAGACUAAAUUGAAUGAAAAUAUGUUUAAAUGAGAUUUAUUUGAAUAUGUUUAGAUCAAGAAACCAAGAAAUCGGAUUUAGAUCGGGGGAAAUCGAGAGUAGUUGAGUAGCUGAUCUAUUAGUCGACGACAUCCGAGGUAAGUUAUUAAGCAUAUAUAUAAUUGUAUCGUUUUAAAAUCAGCUUAGUAUCUAAGUAAUUAUGCUGAAUUAGAUGGUAUAUAUAUAUAUAUAUACAUGUAGUGAUAAAAUUAUUGAAAUAAGAUGUAUUGAGUUGUUGAUUUUCGACACUAAGUGUGCGAAUUUAAUUGUAAAGCACUAAGUGUGCGAGUUUAAUUGUAAAGCACCAAGUGUGCGAGUUUAAUGGCAAAGCACUAAGUGUGCGAACUUAUUAAAUAUUUUCGAAUGACUAUUAGUAUUGAGUAUUUGUCUUAUUGAGAAAUCAUGAUUAUUAAAAUGAGUAAAUACUUGGAAUUCUUGAGUAAUAACCAUUAUGGUUGUAUUUAAGGUUAAGCUUUGUAGAUAUUAAACCUAUGUGGUGAUUAUAUUUUGAAUCAUAUAUAUAUAUAAUAUGAUUCUUUAUACUACAUGAUGAGGAAAUGCAUACUGUAUAUGGUCUUGUGUUUAAAUUUGAAGAAAUAUUUAUGGUUGUGUAAUUAUAUUGAUUUUAGUUAAAUCAUAGUAAUAAGUGAAUAAUUAUCUUAUGAUAUGGUAAGCUAAAGGUAAGAUGAUUCAGUAGUAUGAAUUGGUUGAAUAUUAUUUGAGAUAUCGGUUAAAAUAGUAAAGUUUAUUUGUUUAUAACUUACUAAGCUAAAUUAGCUUACAAUGUGUUGGAUAAUUGUUUUGAUGUAUAGAUUUUGGUGAUCGCUACGUGUUCGGGGAUCGUCAGCUAAGUUCGUCACACUAUCGAUAAUUUCUUUUGGUAUUUUGCUAAAUCGUUCUCAAAUAUAUGGCAUGUAUAGUAUAGUUAAAAUAUUGAUUUUGGAACCAAUGUGUAUAUGUAUUUAAAAGCCAUGCGAAAAUGGCUUAUCUCUUUUGGUUUGAAUUCGGUAUUAAUGCAUAUGCUUUAAUGGUCCAAAAUGUGGUAUAUAUUCAUGUAAUUUUUAUGCUUAAAUGCUGUCCAAUUUGUUGUAUUUAUGCUGCCCAAAUUGUUGUAUAUAUGCUGUCCAAUUUUGAUGUAAAAAUGCUGCUCAAUUUGGUAUAUAUAUGCUGCCCAAAUUGUUGCACAUAUGCUGUCAAAUUUUUAUGCUAAAAUGCUGUCCAAUUUGUUGUAUUUAUGCUGCCCAAAUUGGUGCAUAUAUGCUGUCAAAUUUUUAUGCUAAAAUGCUGUCCAAUUUGUUGUAUUUAUGCUGCCCAAAUUGUUGCAUAUAUGCUGUCCAAUUUUUAUGCUUAAAUGCUGCCCAAUUUGUUGUAUUUAUGCUGCCCAAAUUGUUGUAUAUAUGCUGUCCGAUUUUGAUGUAAAAAUGCUGCUCAAUUUGGUAUAUAUAUAGGCUGCCCUAAUUGUUGUAUAUAUGCUGUCCAAUUUUUAUGCUAAAAUGCUGCUCAAUUUGAUGUAUAUAUGCUGCCCAAAUUGUUGUAUAUAUGCUGUCCAAUUUUUGGUGUGAAAACGCUGUCUAGUUUGGUAUGUGAAUGCUGUCCAAAUUGAUGUAAAAAGGCUGUCCAAACAGGGUAGAUUACCUAUGUUGUAAUAUGUAGUAUAGUUAGUAAAUUGAAAUGAAAUAUGUGUACAAAUAAAUGUUUGGGUAUAUGCUUGAUUUAUGAAAUAUAAUCAUAUAUGUUUGGAAAUGUUUUAAGAAUUGGAAUGAUAUUAAAUUUUGAUUAGGUAAAUGAUAAUGAUAUGGUUGAAUUUUUGAAACAUGGUUAGUAUAUGAAAUUUGAUUAAUGACGCAUGUUGAUUUUAAUUGGUUAUGUGAUUAUAUAUAUAUAUGGAAUGAAAUUUUGUGGUUGAGUUGGUAUAAUUUAUGAAAAAAAAAAUUAUGAGUUGGGUUUUUGACCGGUAAUGCCUCAUAACUCAAAUCCGGCGACGGACACGGGUCGGGGUGUUACACGUUCCCUAAAUUGAUUAAGGAUAUGGUAAGUGACAAAUGAGCCCAAAAGAAUUACAGUAAAUGGAUAAGUGGUAGUGUAUUUAUACCAGGAUGAUGUUGUUAUUUAAGCUAAAGUGAUAUUUUCAUUGCAAAAUUGAGAAUUUCGUAAAUGUGUUAAUGAAUGGUAUAAUCGGUAAACGUUGAGUUAAGUGGUAAAUACGUAUUAGUGUUAAACUUAAUGAGAUUGAAUUGUAUGUGAAUUAAAUGGAAAUUGCUAGUAAUAUGAUCUAACUUGUGAGCAUGAGAAAUUGCGAAUUGAGUGAAACGAAAAUGAAACAUUGAAUUAUAUGAGUAUGUAUCGGGUCUCGUAGGCCCUAUUUAUUAAGAUUAUAAUAUUUUGAGGAUAUAUUGAAGAGUUAUAAAAGCAUGUUAAUAAUUCUGAAAGUUUUAAUUUAGAUGAAAAUUUAUAACUCGGUUAAAUACGUUUACAAGUGUAUGUGUUCUGGUAAUGUCUCGUACUCUAUUCCAGUGUUGGAUACGGGUAAGGGGUGUUACACUGCCCAUUUUCUAAACGGGCCUAUUUUUUUGUCCAAACCUAUAUUUUGGGCCUAUAUUUUUACCCGAACCCUCCCAUUUUUCAGGCGGCCGUUGGGUCGAGCCGGAUAGCCCAGCCCAUGAUCACCUCUAAUUGAGAAGUGGUUUCUCAACAAAAAAAAAACUUCAAAACAAGUUCCUAAUAUAUUUAAUUUUCAUUUAAUUUGUUGAUGUCAUCUAACUCAAUUCAUACAUAUUAUAUGCAAUUGGAUCAAACAAAGCCUAACGAUUAAAUUUAAAUACAUGAUGUUUGCUAUAAGUAAAUAUGAAUUAAAUUCGGUGAAAUUAUAUUGAAAUAAUUUCAGUUGUUUCGAUAAUGAAUAUGAUGUCAUAUACUUGAAUCUGACGAUCAGACCGAGUAUAGGGUACCACAUAAAAUACUCACAUAAAACAUUUUUAUCAUUUUGCACACAAUUAUGUUAAAAUAUUAAAGUUUAUAAAAGUAGGUGGUAAUGAGAUGAUAACUGGGACAUAAAAACCAAUUUUUUAAUAUUGAAAAUAAAUUUUGGCCGCACAUUGAAACUAGAUUGACCUUAAAAUACUAAUAAUAUUUUUUGAAGAAAAAAUCCCAUUAUGGGAAAAAGUUAUAUUAACUAUGAAACAUCAUUUAAUAGUAAUUGGUGGAUGAAAUUUGGAUAAUUCAAAUGGAUAUCUAAAACACCAUUCUCAUCCAUUUGCUAAUGUGUCAAACAAUGGGUGACAUGAUUGGCUAAGUUAUGGAGAAAAAAACUUACAACAUCAAACAUCACAACAAGCUAGGGCCUCACUAACAAUACGACCAUACAAAAUAAAUCUAGUACCUGGCUAUUGAACUUAUUAACAACAAACGUACAAUUGGACUUUAGAAGGACUCUUCAAAAACCCUUUGUCAAGGGCUUUCUUAGUGGCGCAAAAUAAAGUAAGCGCUUCAGCCGAAGGAGCAUCAAAUGCCUCCACAAUCGAGCAAGUAAAUCCUGCUAUCACUAUUCCCUCAUGGUCAUGAACGAUGGCGCCACAAAAAGCUGAUCUCAUAUUUGCAUUCCAUGCUGCGUCAACAUUAAUUUUCAUUGCAUCUUCACAAGGUGGAGAUCAUCGGGCCACAAACAGACGUUUAAGAACCAACAGUGUAUAUAAGAGAUUGUGCACCAGGAACUCAUGAUGAUAGGACCUAGCUCAUAAUACCACAUCUUGUGAGGAAACGCCUCUCCCUAGUUAACAAUCAUAUUCCUAGCCUCCCGUAGCUGCUAUAGAAGCACAAUAAAACUAGUGAAGGCUUCCUUGUCCAACUGCAUUGUUUUGGGUCUUUAACACCUCCAAUCACUUCUUAAUAGUUUUAAAUUGUUUUUAAACCCUCAAAAUUGUUCUAAAUUUGAUUAUAUGAUUUUCUUAAAUAUUAUUUUAAAGAUUUACUACUUGAAGAAUUAUAAGUCACAUGUGUGUGCAUUUAUGUGAUAGUAUCUUGUAUCUGAACCGAUCGUUGAAACGAGUAAUGGGGUGUUACACCUUUUCUUUUAAAAAUAUUGUGAAACUUAACUGAAAAAAAAAAUAAUGCCAACUGUGUUUUUAAAUUUGCGGUAUUAAUAUACUAUAAACUGGAAAAGGCAUUAAUAUCAUUUAUAAUUUGUGGUAUUUUUAAAUUUUCUUAGUUCUAUUUUUUUAGGGCUCUCUCAGUCUUUUCCUUUGCUCGGCCUUUUUCUCAACCACACAUAAGUUAUUUUUGUCAAAAAAAUGAAUUUUUAGAAACGUAUUGAUUUUAUGGAAAUUUUUGUUUGGAAAAUAUUAUUCUUUGUUUGGAAAAUUUGCUUUGAAUAUUUUUUCAAAAGUUAUUUUUAGUGAAACAAACACAAUAUAAAUUAUAUUUGUUACAAAAUAUUAUAGAAAUAUUUCUUUUUGACAACCAAAAUUUAUUUUAUAAUAGUAUCAACCUAAUUAAAUUUUAAUUUUAAUAUAUAUAUUACAUUCAUGAUAGUAGAUAAUGGCACAUCGAAGCUCGAAGGGAUACAUCUACUUAAGCAGGAUUUAAAUUGUAAUAUAUAUAUAUUCAUAAAUUAGUUUUUUUUUACUCGUGUGAUGCACGAGUUGAACGUGUGUCUUUAUUUGCUUUUAUUUCAAUAUGUUAUAUUAGUUUGUUUAAAUUUUUUUAUAAAAAAUUAUAAUUUGAAAUUAGAAGCAUUUUCAAAAUUAAAAAACAAGCAAUAAAAUAUUAUAGCAAAAUGUGCAAUUUUAAUAUGAAAUUGUUAUUUAAAACUAAAUGGAAUUUUUUAGUAUGAGUAAUAUAAAUUAUGAACCAAAUAAUAAUAUUUAAACUCAAAUAUGAUAAAAGUAUUGAAAAUUGAUAUUAAUACAUUGAAAUAUUUUCUUUUACAAAUUUAACAACUCAAAUUUGACUAAUACAAUAAUUAGAAAAGUAAAGAGAAAAAUAUGAUAACUUUAACAAUACAAAUUAUACAUUAAAAUUAAAUAGGCUUAAUAACUCUUUUGGCCCUUUAACUAUAGCAAAGUUAUCACUUUGAUACUUUUACUAUUUUUUAUCAGUUGUGCCUUUGUACUUUAUUUUUGUGAUCUAUUUGGCCAUUUUAUUUUAAUUCUGUAAUUCAAUUUCCACAAUUUAUGGUGAUUUUUCAAAGUUAACCUACUACUGCUGUCCAAAACUGUUUUCACUUAUUUCCCAUCAUUUUCACUUAUUUCCCUUCACUAAUAUAUCAAGAACAUAAGACUUUAUUUAAGAAAACUCUACUAUAACAUCAUUUCCAUGCUUUUUCAAUAAUAACAAACUUAAAAGUAUAUUGAAAUCUUGAUGUUCUUACCUUGUGCUAUUGAUUUCAAUCUUUAACUUGAUUUUCUCUCUCUUCCAGCUUCUAUUUCCUGAAUCUAACUUGACAUUCUAGCUCCCCAUUUUCUCCUUAUUAUUUUUCUCUCUUGGAAGCUAUGGAAAUUCUUUUGAUUUCUAGGUGAAAAUAGUGAAUUUUUGGUGAAAAGACCAAAUUGUAAAGAAAACAAAACUUUCUUUCUUCUCUUCUCUUCUAACGUUAGUUGCAUGGAAAGAUGAUGAUUUUUUCAUCAUCUUUUCUCCCUUUUAUAUUAAUCAUUUAAUAAUAAAAUAAUACUAAAAAUCUUAAUAAAAUAUUAAUUAAAUAACAUUUAUCUAAUUAAUUAAUUAAAAAUAUCACAAACAUCAUCAUUACCUUCUAGAAUUCUCUCUCUCUCUAUUUGACCAUUUUGCCCUUAUAAUCUUUUGAAAUUCCAUACUUGAGUCAUCACUUAAUUUGGUAAAAUUGCAAUUUAGUCCCUCAAAAUUCUUCACCUUUUUAAUUUGGUCCUAAUUCAUCCCUUUUCCUUAGUUUCUAGAUUAUUCUACCCUUAAAAUAUUUACACUAUUGGUCCUUCAAACUUUUUGUAUUUACACUUUAACCCUUCAAAUUUUGAGUAUUUACUCUUGGGUAACAAAACUUUUCUCACUUUUGCAAUUUAAUCCUUUCUUGAAUUAAUAUGUCAUAAUAUACUUCCCAAUGUUGACAUAACUCAAUAUUACCCUUUUUAUCACUUUAUUUCCUUAUUUUACUAUAUCAAGGAUAUUAUCUUAUUUUCUUACUGUAGUAAUUUUCGGGGUAUUACAAUUCAUAUUAGUCAUAUGCUCAAGACUGUUUUCAUGUUGUUUAAGCCUCUCACUAAUAUGCCUCCAAUCAAUUAAACCCUCAUUUGCUAACAAACAUUUGUUACUAAUAGAUUUGAACAACUUACAACAAAAACAAAAUACUUUGUCAACAUGUUUGGAAUAAACCAACCAUUUUCUAUUGAUAAUCUCACCAUUGCUCAACUUCCUAGAAAAAUAAGCAUAUGAAAAAUGUCUAUUAUUAUUAUCGAAAUGAAAAUCAAGAUUCGUUUCUCUUAAUAUAGACCCCUUUUCAACUAAAAUGUUCAUUAUUUUGUUAUCAAGUUUAGCUCAAUUUCUAGGAUCAUAAAUAUCCAAAGAAGGAAUUGUUUUUUUCUUCACCAAUGCCAAUAUCAGGAGGAAUUGUUUGUUCUUCAUUAAAACCAAUAUUUUGAAUAUUGGAUACAUUUGGCAUAUCAUUAAGCUCAUUUGGAUAAUUAAUUUCAUCAUUCUCAUUGACAUCAUUAUGCGAACUUUCAUUUGAUUGAUCCAAAUUUUCAUUAGAAACUACUUUUUUAAAAAUAAAUUUAUCAAUAGCACCAUGUUGUGAGUUUUUUAACUCUUCAACACGUUUUCUCUUUUUCUUUUUUUUCACUUCCAGAUAAAUGCUUUUUAGGUAACAUUGUAUAUAAAAGAUAAAUCAAAUACUGAAGUAACACAAGAAAAUAAAACAAUAGCACCUGAUAGAAGAAUUCCAAGUUGAGUAUUUGUUUUUACAUUUGCUAAUUUCAAAAGUCAAAUCAAGUCACUGGAAUUUUGUAAAUAUAAUUGUAAUAAUCAAUUACAAAUAGACAUGGUAAUUAACAAUAUCCAAUUAUUUGUAUGGGAAAUGCACCUAAAAAAUUAAUGAGUAACAAAAACAAUUAAAAGCAUAAAGUCAUAAAGAAAGGGUAUGCAGUAGUAUACUGUACUAUAAGUCAUCAAAAAAGGAAUUAGGAGAAAGAAGCUAAAUAUAAGAUUGACUUAAUGACUUUAGUUUAACCCCAAAUAUGUCAUCAAAUUAAGAAUGAAAAAAUUACAAGAAAGAAUAGGAAGGAAGAAAAAUUAUACCUGUAACAAUGGUAGAUCUGGCAAAUUGCAGAUGAGAGGUACCAUUAGAGGUGCCCAUGGGCCGGGCCGGGUUCGGGUUGGGCCCAGAAAAAAAUUUCGGCCCCACCCGAAAUAUGGGCCUGAAAUUUUGCCCAGGCCCGACCCGGGAAAAAAUUUAUAAGCCCGGCCUAUCCUAUUUUUUAAAUAAAUACCAAAAAUUUAUUUUAAAAAUUAAAAAAAUUUAAAAAGCAUUUUAAAAAUAUUUUAAAAUUAAAAAAAAAAAAAAUAAAUAUAUUUAUUAUAUUCGGGCCGGGCCGGGCCCGGGCAAAAAAAGUGGUCACCGAGGCCCGGCCCAUUUUCUAAACGGGCAUCGUUUUUUUGCCCAAACCCAUAUUUCGAGCCUAUAUUUUUACCCGAACCCUCUCAUAUUUCGGGCGAGCCGUCGGGCCGGGCUGCCCGGCCCAUGAGCACCUCUAGGUACCAUGGGCAGCAACCAGUUGAAUAUCGACAGUCUGGCAUAGCCAUGCAGGACGACAACUUUAAAAUGAUGAAAUAAUAAUGAGGGAAUUAAAAGUCAACUCUUAAAAAUCACAUAUUUUCCUGAAAUUUGACUUAAGAUGGGCGAAAAUGCUAAGGGUAUAUUUGGACACCAAAUACUAAUUAGAUGAAAUUAUCAUUACUAGUAAUUACAAUUUUUAGAUGUGUUUGAUUGUUAGAGUGUAAUUACAUCAUAAUUCUUUAUAUCAUGUUUGGUAGUAUAAAUUAUAUUUAAAAAACUACAUAAUUUAAAAUUCUAAAAAGAUAUUAAUUAUUAUAAAAAGUAUCAAUAAUACUUGAUAAUCUUUUUUAAAUAAGUAACAAAAACCUAACUCAAACCAUCGCAUAUAAUAUAUUAGUUUAAAGAACGUACCCGACAAUACGAUUACUAAAAUAAUUUAACUAGAAAAGUAAACAUCCUAAACAAUUUAUCUAAUUACUCUAGCAUUUCAUAUUUGUUGAGUUAGUUACUCUUUAACAUCAAACAUAUAAUUAUUGUUAUUGCUGAUUAAUUCUUGACCAAGUAUAAAUUAUUAAUAAUAAAUAUUAUAUAAUUAAAUUAACUUUAAUAUAAAUAAUUUAUAAUAAAUACUAUAUAUUUUAAUUAAUUAUUAUUAAAUUAGAAUAUAUAAAAAAAACUAUCUUUCAUCAUGUCUUUUAGAGUCUCAGCCAAUUAAAUUCAUCCAUGAUGUAAACUUUCAAGUCAAACCUUCUUUCUUUCUUUUCUUUUUCCAUUUAUGAUAAUAAAUAAUUGAAAAAUGAAAAUCAAACCGAAAAAAAAAUUAGCCUUAAAAUUAGAACACUCUGUUCUGGUGUUGGCAUUGCUGAUUUUUAAAUUUGGGUUAAUUUACACUUUACUCCUGAACUGAGUAACUUGUAUUUAAAUUUGGAAAUGAUUAGAUGAAGUGGUACUUCUUUUAGGUACCUGAUUAAUAAUGUUAAGUUUUUAAUACACGUGGUGUGAAAGGAAUGGUUGGAUCGAUAAAAAUAAAUGGUAUUAGUCAAGUAUUUUAAAAAAAUACCACUUUAACUAUGGAGUUUUUAAGUUUAGAUUAAAUUCAAGUACCAAAUACGUAUAUAAAUUAUAAAGUUGAGAGAGUAAAGGGUACUUAAUCCUUAUAAAUUAUAUUAAUUAAUUUAUUGAUUAAUUGUAAUAAAAUUUCAUGGUUUUUAUGAUAGUAAUAUAGUGCACAAAUCGAUUCUCUACGUAAAUAGCGAAUGCAAUUAAGAAGAGAAAUGGUUGUGAAUUGAGUUCACCUCAUCAGACGAAUUAAUUGAAAUAUCAGAAUGCAAAAUCAGAUUAUAUCAUUUUAUGUGAUUUGCAUUUAAUUACAUUACUUGAGAACAGAAAUAAGAACCCACGGAUCCAACAAAUUAUUGGUUGUAAGAACUUAAAAAAAGAACAAGAAAAACAAGACACGAAAUGGAAUACGUGUGGAUUAAGGAACUUUCGGGGAUUCAAACCAAACUGUGGUGAAACAGAUUUUGGUCUAUGAGUAAUAAAUGCAUCAAACACUUUGGGGAAGCCAAAGUAAACGUGCCUACAAGGUUGGACCAUUUUCUGAAGAAAAUUCUACAAUUCUACAAUUGAAUCACUGUAUAAAACCAAACAUGUCUCUGUUUUUCAUUUGUAUCCCAAAACCAUAUCUUUGUCUUUACUGCUCUAAUAUGUCUCUCUUCCUUUUCAUGCUCCUCGUCUCCAUUUUGAACCCCGUGGUUUCUCAUAAAAGCUGCGAUUUCCCAGCUGUGUUUAACUUGGGUGACUCUAAUUCCGACACCGGCGGAUAUGCUUCUGCGUUCACUCCACCCACUUCUCCUUAUGGAGAUACCUACUUUCACAUGCCUGCUCGCCGUUUUUCCGAUGGGCGGCUCACCAUUGAUUUCAUAGGUAUGUUAUAACUUCAUUCGCCGUUGCUAUGCUAUGACCACAUGUUUGAAAAUAACAAUAUAUAUAGAUACUUUAGUACACAGAAAAUAUAUAUUUUUAAAAUAAAUAUUUAUUGUACUUUAAAAGAAUACUUCUCAUCGUCUUAAGUUUAUUUGUGGAAUUCUGUUAAAUCUAUCAAAUAUAUUUUCAUAUAUAUAAUCCUCACGUUGAAAAAGAUUAAUUAUGGAUAAAAGUGAUGUUCUUACUUUAUGGUUUAUUUUGGCAGCUGAGGCAUUUGGUCUGCCAUUUAUUAAUGCCUAUCUUGAUUCAGUGGGGACCAAUUUCUCGCAUGGCAUAAACUUUGCCACCGCAGCAUCUACAAUCAGAUUACCUAUUAGUGUUAUCCCUAAUGGUGGAUUCAGUCCAUUCUAUUUGGGGUUUCAGUACUCACAGUUUGAGCAAUUCAAAGUCAGAUCUCAAAUGAUUAGGAAACAAGGUCAGUAUAUAUUUCAAGUAGCAUUUUAUUAUUUAAAAAAUGACCUGGGAUUGUAAAUGUUAAGAUAUAAACUCUAAAUAUGUAAGAUGCAUUACCUGAACCAUCUGUGAUCUUUUCCAUGCAUAGGAGGGUUGUUGGCAAGUUUAAUGCCCAAGGAAGAGUAUUUUUCUAAAGCUUUAUACACAUUUGACAUUGGCCAAAACGAUCUUGGAGAAGGGUUCUUUUCAAACUUGACUGUACAAGAAGUCAACGCUUCUAUUCCUGAUAUAAUCAACAAAUUCUCAGCAAAUAUUAAGGUAUAAUCCUAUUCAGAAAUUUGAUCCAAAUACCCAAGUUAAAAUUUCAAUGAUUUUGACCUAAUAGUUCUGAGGUCAACUUUUUCUUUUUUUUUUUGCAGAAUAUAUACAAUUUAGGAGCAAGAUUCUUUUGGGUUCACAACACUGGACCAAUCGGUUGCUUGCCUUAUGUUUUGGUUGCAUUUGCCUCAGCUGAAAAGGACCCUUCUGGUUGUUUAAAGCCUUACAAUGAAGUGGCUCAGUAUUUCAAUCUGAAGCUACAGGAAUCAAUAGCUCAACUCAGAAAUGAAUUCCCUUCAGCUGCAUUUACAUAUGUAGACAUCUAUUCUGUGAAGUAUUCUCUGUUUGCUGAACCCCAAAAACAUGGUAAUUUGACAAAGUACUCGUGUUUGGCACUUGUGUUGGGCCUAUAUCUGCCCGAGUUUGAGCUUUGUAUCUGAUUCUGGACUAAAUUUUCAGGGUUUGAACUUCCACUUGUGACAUGUUGUGGCUAUGGAGGUGAGUACAACUACAGUGCUGCAGUUCUAUGUGGAGGAACAAUUACGGUGAAUGGUACAGAGAUAUUUGUGGGUUCAUGUGAUAAUCCAUCUGUUCGUGUGGUUUGGGAUGGAAUUCACUUUACUGAGGCAGCUAACAAGUUCAUUUUUGAUCAAAUUUCGACUGGUUCGUUCUCCGAUCCGGCUGUUCCAUUGAAGCAGGCAUGCCAGAGCUAGAGGAAUUCAAAAUAAACUUUCUGCUAAAGCAUAUAGACACAUGAAUAAACCAAAAUUUAACUGGCUUCUCUUGUAUGUAAUAAGUGUCUACCUCAUUGCUGCAGAAGAUGAUGUUAUUUUAGUUUUUCUAUUUUUAAAACACAAAAUAAAUAUAUAAUAUUUC